AUUGUGGACGCUGUUGUUCUAGCAUCCACCAUCUGGUUGGGCCUAACCCCGACUCCCUGAACCAGAUAGCAUGCUGGCGGCCGCCGCCUCCGCCUCGUCCCCGUCGCCAACCUUCAUCUCCCCAUCUCCCCUGUUGGCCUAGCCUCCGGCUCAUCCCCGCCGCCCACCAUCCCAUGGGCAGGCUCAACCUUCGCUUGGUUGCCCCGAAUCCCGGCUCAUCCGAGUCGCCGACAUCCUCAUGGCUUCCCCCAACGUCCUCACGGCCAAAGGGGUGGGCAGAGGACGCCACCACUGCAGAAUCAACAAUUUGGUCGGAGGUGGUCGUCCAUGUCCCUCCACUGCUUGUUCAUACAUCGUCUCAACCAUUGGUAGCCGCGUGAAUUGUCACAGGAUGCAGUACGACACUGUAAUUUGUCCUCUAGAAGGUCUUGAAAUGGAUACAAACGGACAUUUCAAUGAUUUGUAAUGGAUGCCUCACAGCGAGCACAGAAUAUCCAAAGUUUGGAAAAUGUGAGUAUCCUUUAGUUUGGCAUGCUGUCUGUUACGCUUAGUGGUAAACCAAAGACUAAGUGUUGUGUCGUGUUGGCAUCCCAUUUGAUCAUCUAUGUAGCUCACCUUUAGAGAACCUUGGUUUUUAUGAGAAUGCUAAGAUGAGGAAAAUCAAUGUCUACAAAUACUUGAUAUUGGAAUUGGUGGAGCGUCGACGGUCCGAGACAAAUAUUUUCACCUAUGUUUACUAGAAUUUGAAAAAUCAACGACAUAUGUUUGAUGCAAUGACAAAUCCAUUGCACUUUCA